rnacentral:rRNA from 1 species
AACGGCCAUACCAUGCUGAAUAUACCAGUUCUCGUUAGAUCACCGAAGUCAAGCAUCAUUGGGCGUGGUCAGUACUUGGGUGGGUGACCACCUGGGAACACCCCACGUGCCG